UGGUAUUUUCAGGCUAUAAAAAAGGCCCGGAUUUUAUAUUUUUGACCUACGAAUGAAUCAAAAGAAAAUAGAGAAAAAUCAGUUCAAAUACAGGCCAUUUUCGAAGGUAGUUUUCGAUUUCUUUUUAUUUUAUUUUUUUGAAGAUUUUUUCUUCUACUUCCGUUUUAAAUUUUUAUUUUAUUCUACUUUUUUCACUUUUUUACAUACAUACAUAAAUAAAAAAGGAAAAGGGGGAAGAAACUCACUUGGUGUUUGAACUUUCAACACCGUGGACGACUGAGGAAGUCACCUCCGAGGAUAAGUGGCCGGAAACUGAAAGGUUUCUUGGGUUUUUGCGUGUUUUCUUAAUAUUUUGGGGUUUUUGGGCUCGGAUUUAGGCUUAGGAAGGUCAAAUUAGUAAAAGAGGGACUUUUGGUAUUUUUCGGCCACCGUGGAUGGCAGCACCGUUGCCGGUGACCGUGGCCGUCACGGUGGUCCGGUGACCGGGGUUCGGCCGAAAGGGGAAGGCUAAGAGAGAGUUGAGAGAGAAGAGAAGGUUUUUUUUUAAAUGAGGUUACAAAUGUUUUUUUUUAAGUUUUUUUCACUUAACGACGUCGUUUUGGGCUUGACUUCUGACACCCAAAACGGCGUCGUUUCACCCUUCAACCCGCGACCCGACCUGCUCCAACCUCAGGAUCCGCGUGUUUUUGUGGAGGGGUUUAUUUGCGCGUUAGACCCUUCCGCAUUUUUAAAUUAUUUUAAUUUACUUUUUUUUAUUUUUCAAUUGAUACUUCAAAUUUUAUUCUGUUUUCGAUUUAUUCUUGACGAAAUGGUGCGUUUCAAAGGGUGGGGAUAUUUCCCCAUUUGGUCCCUCUGAGUUAUGCGCGCUUUUCAAUUGCGCCCUCUCUUUUAUUUUUACUUUCGAUAUUUACCCCGUUUUUUAUUAAAUUUCAAUUUAGUCCUUUUGUACUUAUUUGUUUAUAAUUUUAG
rnacentral:lncRNA from 1 species